GGAUUGCGAAUGGGCGAAAGCCUGACGCAGCAACGCCGCGUGGAGGAAGACGGCCUUCGGGUUGUAAACUCGUUUUGCGUCUGACAAGGAAGGAUGGUAGGACGCGAAGAAGUCACGGCUAACUACGUGCCAGCAGCCGCGGUAAAACGUAGGUGGCAAGCGUUAUCCGGAUUUACUGGGCGUAAAGGGUGUGCAGGCGGGGCGACAAGUGGUGUAUGAAAUUCUCCGGCUCAACCGGGGACGGUUAUGCCAGACUGUCGUUCUGGAGUGCGAGAGAGGGGCAUGGAAUUCCGGGUGUAGUGGUGAAAUGCGUAGAGAUCCGGAGGAACCCCAGAGGCGAAGGCGGUGCCCUGGCUCGCAACUGACGCUCAUACACGACAGCAUGGGGAGCGAACGGGAUUAGAAACCCCGGUAGUCCAUGCCGUAAACGAUGCAAACUAGGCGCUGGCGGUCUCAACCCCGCCGGUGCCGCAGCUAACGCGCUAAGUUUGCCGCCUGGGGAGUACGGCCGCAAGGCUAAAACUCAAAAAAAUUGACGGA
rnacentral:rRNA from 1 species